AAAAUGCAUAUUGAAAAUAAGGCAGCCUUCUGGCCCCUCUGGGUCUAGGGUGGUAAAGCAUCUAAGGGUUGUUGUCAAACAGGCCUUGAACUGGGUUGAGUUUUUGUAUUUGAUGAAAAAGAACCCAAAUGCUAACUGAUUUGGGAGAGGUCAGAUAAAGAAAAGAGGAGCAUUAACCUUGAUUAUGCCUUUAGCUCCAGCCACCUCUUUAAGAGGAAAUUGUUGGGCAGGUCGGGGAGGGCUAGUCAUGGAACAAAACUGUAAGCCAGACUGGGUGUGGGGAAGGGAGGUGAUAGAAGGAUUAUAGGGUGGGGAAGCAGAGGCUGAGGAAGAAUUGGGACCUGGCUUGGCCUGGCAAGGAGCAGCCUGGGGAGGAGGGGAGAGAGGUCAGAUGGGUCCCUAGAAAAGGAAGAUUCAAAAGACUCAGAGACGCUUGGGGUUGGGACUGAAGGAACAGACAGGAGAGAAAGAAGAAAGAUUUGGGACGACUCUCACUGGGAGCAGAGACUAGGGAGGGACCAGUGUGUAAAAGAAUGCCUGGACAUCAGGCACCUCAGACCGUUUGCCCAUUUUAUGACCUGAAUUAUUUAGAUAUUGUAGGAUGGAAAAAUCGAAAGUGCCGUUUUCUGGCUAUUUGGAACCACUGUCGAGUUUGUAUUGGGGUCAUGGAAGGUUGCCCAUAGUGAAGG
rnacentral:lncRNA from 1 species